ensembl:lncRNA
CGCUAUUGUGUCAACUAACAAAAACAAGUGGACUGAAUGAAGGAAGAGUCCAACUGUCAGAGCUGAGUGAGUGGUUAGUUACCUUUCACAUGGGAUACUCCUCUACCAGGAUGGAUAUCAGGGGGCCAUUUGGGAUCUAAUCACAUUCUGUCAGCUGUCGGAAUAACUAGAGCCCAUAUCCCAGUAUUCCUGUUAUUGUUCCUGUUAUUAUUCCUGCUUUUAAGACCCUUCUUGUUCCCAGAUGGGAAACCAGGCUAUCCAGUCCAAUCAUUUAUCCAUCUGAUCACCCUCAACUUCCUCAGGCCAGAUAAGUUCAACUUCCUCAGGCCAGAUAAGUCCAACUUCCUCAGGCCAGAUAAGUCCAACUUCCUCAUGCCAGAUAAGUCCAACUUCCUCAGGCCAGAUAAGUCCAACUUCCACAGGCCAGAUAAGUCCAACUCAACUUCCUCAGGCCAGAUAAGUCCAACUUCCUCAUGCCAGAUAAGUCCAACUUCCUCAGUCCAGAUAAGUCCAACUUCCUCAGGCCAGAUAAGUCCAACUUCCUCAGUCCAGAUAAGUCCAACUUCCUCAGUCCAGAUAAGUCCAACUUCCUCAGGCCAGAUAAGUCCAACUCAACUUCCUCAGUCCCGAUAAGUCCAACUCAACUUCCUCAGUCCAGAUAAGUCCAACUCAACUGCACCAAAUGAAAGUGAUGGGCAAGGCUACUGCAUGUAGGAUACUGAUGGAGACGUGUUUCUCUCCUUUACCCAAGACCCUUUCUGUUUUAUACCUCUC